UCACUGAGUGAUGAUUGCAAAAUCCUUCCAGUUCUUUCUUACUACAUGUCUGUUUUCAAUCUAGUUCUCUAUGGAGUUUCAGUUUUUGAACUGUGGUGGAAGAAGCACUUCACAAUAAUAGUAAUGUAUUUAAUCUAUUGUGGAGAACACUAAAAUAUAUCUAUUCAAGAGGAGGCUAAUGGGGUUAUUUUUCUUUUAAAAUGAUCUGUGGGCCAGUAGAGCUUCCCUCCACUUACCUCCUUAUUCUCCAAUGCACACACUAUAUUUUCUUCAAGUACUAUCCCCCAGCAGCUCCCAUUCUUGAAAUUCCUAUUCCUUGUUUCAAGUCCAUUUAAUCUUGUUUUACCCACUUGAAUUCAUACAUAACACCAAUCCUUCAAAGCACUCAUGGAGCCCUCUUCAACUACUUCAGCUCAAAUCAGUCUCCCUUCUGUGAUAGACCAAAGAAGCACUUAUUGUAAGAAUGCUUCAAGAUUGAGUUUAAGUAAUAUUUUACUUUUAGUAUUUUUUAUUGUCCAUCUUUCUUAUGAGGUUAUUACAGAAAAAUAAAUUUGACUCACCAACACCUGGAUAGAGCUAAGAAUAAUAUUCUGCUGCAUAUUUGUUCAGACUGGCAUUAGUAGCACAAUUUUAUUCCUUUUGUUGAGUACAAUAUAAUGACAUUUAACACAGUCUACUAUAGAUACAAAUUCACAUAUCAUAAUUUGCCUAUUUUUGCUUCUACUCUUUGAAAAGGUGACAGCAAAACAUUUUUCAUGGAAAGUCUUAGACUUCUUGUGAGUGUUAAAUUUACACUGAUUAACAUUUUAUAUUUUAGCAAUAAUAAAUACUGUAAAGUAUACAUUGCUCCAGCAGUGGUGAUGGACCUUUAUUAAGUGAGUCAAUUUUGAAGUAGGUGUUUGUGGAUUAUAUCAAUUACUAUACCUACAGCUGGCCUAAGCAUAUUUUAACAUUUGCCAUUUCUGAGAGAGAAGUAUCUCCUUUGCAGGGCUUGAGUUUUUACUGUUUUUGUUUCUUUUUUAAAAAUUCUACUUCCUUUAUAGGAUUUCAAUGGGUUAUGGAAGAAGAUAAAAUAAUAUAAACAAUGAUAAGGGAUUUGAAAUGUUAAGGGCUGUUUUCACCAUCAUUUCUGUGAUUGCAUCUCACCUUAACCUUACAAAGCUUUUGUAGGAGGUGCUCCAUCAAAACAAAGGAGUAAAUCAAAAAGAGGAUGGCAUGAUUAAUGAAUUAGAGAGUCCAACAGAAGGUAAAGGCAGAUGGAAUUGUUGGGAUGGAACCAGUCCAGACAGAAAGAGAAUAGCAGACUAUUAAGGGAAGUCUUCAAUAAAAAGUUGGAAUGGAUGUAUCAUAUGAGGGGGUGGAAGAGGUAGGCAGUCUUAGCAAUUGGCACAAAGAAUCCAUGCAGAGGAGGGAAGGGGCAAUUAACAUGACUUUUGUUACUUGCAGCUGAUGCAUUCUAAUGAAUACAUACUUCCUUCCUAGAAAAUCAAGUGAGAAAAAUACUGCCAAAUAGAGAAUUUUCUAACUUGCUGCCACUGUUGAUAUAUUGUAGAUGAACAGGCUUGAAGGGGGAUGUUGCCUUUCUCUCUUACAGCCACAGACUUCUCCAGCGAUUUAGUCUCCAUGUUUGGGCUUAUUAAUGGGACAAUAGUAUUGCAUUGCACUUUGUUCAACAGUUGGAAAGUUGGUGCUGGCCCCCAGUGUCUACCUUAAUCAAAUGUUUAUCAUACACCAGUAAUGUGUCAGGCAUAGUUCAGGUUAUAGGCAUGAGGGAUAUGACUGAUCAAGAGAGAAAAUUGUCUGCAUUCCCUUUGCUCACAUGCUGGUGGUAAACAGGAAAUCUGUAAUCACGUUGCCUGUUUCUUAAAAGUCUUAAUACUUCUUUAUCAUCCUGUCUCCCUACCCACUUCAAGGGGAAAAAAAACUGCCUUCUUUUUGGUAAGAAGGACUUAAGCUCAACAUGUACAAAAUAAAGACAUUUUUUAAAGUUCAAUAAAAAAAUUAAAAUUAUUUUAGGUCACAGCACCCAGAAAUAAUUAUGAUUGAUAGCUCAAUAUCCCCCAAAUUUCUUCAUUAACAUAUACAGAUGCAAAGACAGUAGUACAGACAGAUAAAUAAUUUAGCAAAAAUGAGAUCCGACAAUAUUUCAGGAAAGUAUUUUGACUUUUAUUUUUUGUGUAAAAAGAACAUUUGCCCAAUAUGAAAAUAAGUUAGGCAAUACAGGGAAAAUACAAUCACAUCCCUUACACAUUUGGUUAAUUGAAUUGCUGAUACUUCUGUGAUCUUAAAGAAACAUAUGGCUAGAAGGAUAAACUGACAAUCUCAGAUAUAUUUAUAAAACUGUUUUCAUACUCCUCACGCUUUUUGAAGUAUAUAUAUAUGUAUAUAUUUAAUAUAGCAGAAGGAAGAGCAUCUACUGUGUAACUAAAAUACUUAUUCUAAUUCAGAAUCUUUUUUUUAAAGCAGUAUUAGAUUAGGUUCUUAAAGGAGUCCCUUUGGUGUAAGAAUAAUUUUUUAUUAUAUUUACAGAUUGUAGCCAUUAUAGUUUUAAACAUUGUGCCUUAUUUUCACAGAGUAUCAUUUGGGUCCCAAAAAUUGAUGGAUGAGAAAAUUUGCAAACUUCAAUGGCCUACUUCUUUUCAAGAGGCAGUGCAGAUAUCAGAGAACAUGGUCCUUGCUAUGAGCCAGGGGAGAUUAAACCAUGACUGAUAUAAGCCAAGCAUUCAAUCUCAUCUUCUUUGUUGGAAGAAUGUGGAUGGGCUUACACUUUCCUGGGGAUACCUAUUGGUCGUCUGUCAACAGAUAAUUAUUGAGAAUCUUCUCUGUACCUAGCUCUGCUCUAGAUACUAGAGACACAGCUAUGACAAGACAAAAUUGAUGUGUACGACGAUCUUGUAUAUUACUGAUUGUAAACUGACAACACACAUGUGAAAAAAAUAUAUAAAGAGAAAAACUUCAAGUACUUAAUAAUGCCAUAAAAAGACAGACUGAAGAGAUAUGAUUGAAAGUCACCUAGUCAAGACAAUGCAUGAGACUCUGAAAUAUGCUGGUCUUUGGGGAUGUACUGCUUGAAAGCUGAUAAAUCAGAAAGUCUUCCAGGAGAAGAUUUUGUGGCUUGUCCUUUCACUUUUUAUGCCCUGUUUUGAUUAACAUAAGUUCUUAAUUUCAACCCAGUCACAUACACCAAUAUUUUUAUUUAAUGCAGCUUAAAGAUUUUAUAAUAUCAGAUAUUAUUUCACAAUAGCAAUUACGUGUAUUGUUUAAAAAAUCCUUCUCUUGUAUAUCUUCUAAAAGCUUUAGAGUUCUGCCUUUGACACUUAAAUCUUGAAUACACCAGAAGUUGAAUUUUCUGCAUGAUUUGAAUAUCUUUAUAAAGACUCGGUUGUCCCAACACCAUUUACUUCAAAGCUUUUUCAUUCCCCAGUGAUAUGCCAUGCCACACCUCUAAUAUAGCAAGUGCUAAUAAAAGCAAAUAUAUGCUAAUUUGCCUUCUAUUCUGUUUGUUUUUUGGUCUAUCUGUGUAUAAAUACCACACUGUUCUAUUUAUUAGCACUAUAUAGUGUGUUUUGAUAUCUGAAGGAUUAAAUCCUCCCACGUUGUACUCUUUCUCUUUUAAUAGGGUUUGAGCUAGCCUUGGUCCCUUGAAUUUUAAGAUUAGUUUGUUGAGUUCUGCACACAUCCACACACCCUGCUGGGAUAUUGAUUGGGAUUGUAUUAAAUCUAAUAAUCAAUUUAAGGAGAUUGAAUCUUUGUAAUAUUAUGUUUUUCAGUCCAAGAACUUGGCAUACCACACAUUGUGUUUCUAUUUAUUUACCAUAGUCUCUCAAUAAAUUUUUAAUUGUCUCUUCAGAGUUUUUGUAUAAUCUUUGUUACAAUUAUUCCUAAGCAUUAGAGAAUUAAAUGCUGUUGUGUAUGGUAGCGUUUUUUCAAGUUUCAUUUUAAUUGUUUGUUAUUGCUUUAAAAAUAUAUUUUUAUACUGAUUUUGUAUCAAGCUACUUUAAAAUUUCUCAUAAUUCUUUUGAAUUUCCUACAUAUACAGUAAUGUCGUUUGUAUGUAAUUACAAUUUGUUUCUUCUUUCUCAAAUGUGUGUGUGUGCGUGUGUGUGUGGGUGCAUGUGUGCAUGUGUGCACAUGCAUGGGUGUAUUUGUUCUUUUUGUCUAACUGUACUGGUUAGGAUCUCUAAUAAAAAGUGAAAUCAAGAAAAACAA